rnacentral:rRNA from 1 species
CGUGUAGGCGGUCAGGUAGGUCCGUUGUGAAAACUCGAGGCUCAACCUCGAGACGCCGAUGGAAACCAUCUGACUAGAGUCCGGAAGAGGAGAGUGGAAUUCCUGGUGUAGCGGUGAAAUGCGCAGAUAUCAGGAAGAACACCCGUGGCUAAGGCGGCUCUCUAGUACGGUACUGACGCUGAGACGCGAAAGCGUGGGAGCGAACA